AUCUGCAGGGGACCAUGCCAUUGGACGUUCCUAAGAGGUGUGCUGCUAGAUGACCUUCUUGCUGCUGAAACAACAAAUGCUUGUAACUGCAGCUCCUGCUAACAUGCAAGCUGGAUGAGCACCGGGCAUAUUUGCUACGAUGAUGAACAAACAUGCAAAUGACUGCAGAAACAACAGCUGAUGGAGCUGUGGUUCUUGGAAACCCAGUUGCUCCUCCUGUUAAUGGGGAUGUGUAUGCGGAUAUCAGCCCUGAGAAUGUUGUGGUCCAGUGACACCGAGAAGAUAGUGCAAAUGUGCUAAUUAUUUGGUUGAAGCAUCUGCUGCAGAGGUUGAGGUAAUUAGUGCUACUUUAGCUGCUAUAAAGGCCAGACAAGUUGGAGAUGAGAUGAGCAUUUUAUCAUAUUGCUUUGCCUGUAAUAACCAAAAUUGAUUGAUUUAGUUUCACACAACAUAGAUAAUUAUAUCGUCAGGUUCAAUUUUACUUAUGAAAGUUGAACAUUUCUUAUCUUGUUAGAUUUCCUCUUUGUAAGUUCUAGGACUUUAGUUAAUUGAAUAUCUUAAGGCAUUCCAGAUGGUAACACUUGAUGCAAUUCUGUUCCUACUAUUCUUACCUUAUAUUACCUGGACGACCUUCAAGCAUCAAUAACUUAAUCCUUUUAGGUUUUCUACUUCUUUCUCCAGUACAGACAUAAUAUUGUUUGGUGCUUCCCAAUAUUUGGACGUGAAAGUAGAGAAGCUUUACAUUUCAAGAAAUAUUAGAUUAUCAAUAAGAAAAUAUGGUCCAAGCCGGACUACUACUUCUAAAUGUUUUGUUUUUCACC